rnacentral:rRNA from 1 species
UACGGAGGGUGCAAGCGUUAAUCGGAAUUACUGGGCGUAAAGCGCACGUAGGCGGAUUUGUAAGUCAGGGGUGAAAUCCCGGGGCUCAACCUCGGAACUGCCUUUGAUACUGCAAAUCUCGAGUCCGAUAGAGGUGGGUGGAAUUCCUAGUGUAGAGGUGAAAUUCGUAGAUAUUAGGAAGAACACCAGUGGCGAAGGCGGCUCACUGGCUCAUACUGGACGCUGAGGUGCGAAAGCGUGGGGAGCAAACAGG